rnacentral:rRNA from 2 species
AGAUUAAACUGAAGAGUUUGAUCAUGGCUCAGAUUGAACGCUGGCGGCAGGCUUAACACAUGCAAGUCGAGCGGUAACAGAUCUAGCUUGCUAGAUGCUGACGAGCGG